AUUGAACGCUGGCGGCAGGCUUAACACAUGCAAGUCGAACGAGUGGCGGACGGGUGAGUAAUGCUUGGGAAUCUAGCUUAUGGAGGGGGAUAACUACGGGAAACUGUAGCUAAUACCGCGUACCAUAGGAUGAGCCUAAGUGGGAUUAGGUAGUUGGUGAGGUAAAGGCUCACCAAGCCGACGCUCUCUAGCUGGUCUGAGAGGAUGACCAGCGACACUGGGACUGAGACACGGCCCAGACUCCGACGAGAGGCAGCAGUGGGGAAUAUUGCGCAAUGGGGGCAACCUGACGCAGCCAUGCCGCGUGAAUGAAGAAGGCCUUCGGGUUGUAAAGUGCUUUCGGUAGAGAGGCGUUAACUACAGAAGGAGCACCGGCAAACUCCGUGCCAGCAGCCGCGGUAAUUC
rnacentral:rRNA from 1 species